rnacentral:rRNA from 1 species
CCCUUAGAUGUCCUGGGCCGCACGCGUGCUACACUGACACCUGCAACGAGUUAUUCCAGCUCCGAAAGGCAGUUGGUAAUCAGAAAUAGGUGUCGUGAUGGGGAUAGACCCUUGGAAUUAUGGAUCUUGAACGAGGAAUGCCUAGUAAGCGCACGUCAUUAGCGUGCGCUGAUUAAGUCCCUGCCCUUUGUACACACCGCCCGUCGCUCCUACCGAUUUCGAGUGGUCCGGUGAGCCUUUUGGAGAGUGAGCGUCCUUGAGGCGCUUGCUCGAAGUCAGGCAAAUCUUACUACUUAGAGGAAGGAUGAGUCGUAACA